rnacentral:lncRNA from 10 species
ACAAGGGCGGGUCUUCGCCGACACCAUAGAGGUGGGCCGUUGGCGACGUUAGAGGCGCGGGUGUUCGGCUACAUCACUGGGGCGCCAUGGUGCCUGGAGCUGGGCAGUUUUCUCAUCAGAGUGGGGACUGGUAAGAGUGACCUCCCCGCCAGGUUCUGUGUGUUGCCGGCUGAAGAAGGGUAGCUGAAAAAUUCAGACCCAGCACAGUGUUUAUGUUGGUCAAAAAUAGAAAACUAUGUCUGGCGCGGCCGAGGCGGGAGGACCCUUCAGGCCAAGAGCAGCCUAGCAACAUGGCGCAACCCCAUCUCUGUAGUCCUACCUCAGCCCCCCAGCUACUUGAACCCAAAGGUUCAAGGCUCCAGUGAGCUAUGAUCCCACCACAGCAUUCCAGCCUGCGAGAUUGAGAUGAUGAUUAUUCCCCACCUUCUAAGAGACAAAGACCAACGAGCCACCACAGCCACCAGUCCCAGAACCCGCCAAUGCUGGGGAACGGAAAAUGAGGGAGUUCAACUCUGGCCCUCACAAUCCAGUGGAGGAGACGCAACUCAUCUGCCUCUGUCCCUCUGGGCACGCCUCAUGCCAGGUGCAUCUGUGGACAGGGGCCAUGCUCCUGGGCUUCCAAAGUUGGAGAAAGCUGCCAGGCUCAGGUCUGAAGGCCAGAAUUCUACAGUAAGUCCUACUGAGUCAAGGUGGGAGCAGGGUCGGUAGCUUCCGAGGCUCUGCGGGAGAAUCUGUUUCCUGGCCGUAGAGGUGGCCUGCACUCCUCAGCCUGUGCUGCCCGUCUCGAAUGACUGGAGUUUCCUGCUUCUGUCACUACACCUCCCACCCUCUCCAUCACCUGCUCUGCUCUUACAAGGAUCCGAAGAAAUGGAAUCAUCGUAUCGCUGAUCUACGUAAACAAACUGAAGAAUUGUCUGAAAGAAAAUAUGACAUGAACUUAUGAAUUCAACAGGUGAAGAUUUACAACUUGAUAAAUCAACUUUGUCAGCUCGAGCUGUAAAAGCCAAAGGUCCGGUGAUGAUCCCAUACCCUUUUUUCCAGUCUCAUGUUGAAGAUUUUUAUGUAGAAGGCCUUCCCAAAGGAAUUUUUUUUUUUUUUUUUUGAGAUGGAGUUUUCACUCUUAUCGCCCAGGCUGGGGUGCAAUGGCGCAACCUUGCUGGUCACUGCAACCUCUGCCUCCUGGGUUCAAGAAAUUCUCCUGCCUUAGCCUCCCAAGUCACUGGGAUUACAGGUGCCCACCACCACACCAGGCUAAUUUUUGUAUUUUUAGUGGAGAUGCGGUUUCACCAUGUUGGCCGGGCCAGUCUCGAACUCCUGACGUCAAGUGAUCUUCCCGCCUCGACUCCUGAUAUCAAGUGAUCUUCCCGCCUC